rnacentral:rRNA from 1 species
AUUGAACGCUGGCGGCAUGCCUUACGCAUGCAAGUCGAACGGCAGCACGGGAGCAAUCCUGGUGGCGAGUGGCGAACGGGUGAGUAAAGUAUCGGAACGUGCCCAGUCGUGGGGGAUAACGUAGCGAAAGCUACGCUAAUACCGCAUACGAUCUAUGGAUGAAAGCGGGGGAUCGCAAGACCUCGCGCGAUUGGAGCGGCCGUUAUCAGAUUAGGUAGUUGGUGGGGUAAAGGCCCACCAAGCCGACGAUCUGUAGCUGGUCUGAGAGGACGACCAGUCACACUGGGACUGAGACACGGCCCAGACUCCUGCGGGAGGCAGCAGUGGGGAAUUUUGGACAAUGGGCGCAAGCCUGAUCCAGCAAUGCCGCGUGCAGGAUGAAGGCCUUCGGGUUGUAAACUGCUUUUGUACGGAGCGAAAAGGCUCGCACUAAUACUGUGGGCUCAUGACGGUACCGUAAGAAUAAGCACCGGCUAACUACGUGCCAGCAGCCGCAGUAA